UACGUAGGUCCCGAGCGUUGUCCGGAUUUAUUGGGGGUAAAGCGAGCGCAGGUGGUUUAUUAAGUCUGGUGUAAAAGGCAGUGGCUCAACCAUUGUAUGCAUUGGAAACUGGUAGACUUGAGUGCAGGAGAGGAGAGUGGAAUUCCAUGUGUAGCGGUGAAAUGCGUAGAUAUAUGGAGGAACACCGGUGGCGAAAGCGGCUCUCUGGCCUGUAACUGACACUGAGGCUCGAAAGCGUGGGGAGCAAACAGG
rnacentral:rRNA from 2 species